CUUAUCAUUUCACGUAGAGAGAGAGAGAGAGAGAGAGAGAGAGAGACGGCAGGAAGAGGGGAGAGAAAGGGAGGAGGAGGUCACGGCUAAGGGGAGGGAGGAAGGAGAGGUCCGUUUUCGACGAUCCAACUCGGUGACAAGUAUCGAGCCGGUCUUUUAGGAGGUGCCGAAACCGUAAGUUUGGCAUACUCCAGUCGAAUGAAAGGUAGCAGGUGGCUUAGAGUGGGUCCACUACUGGUCAACGCCUUGGAGAGUGCUGAGACUCGUGUUGGGUGAUGUCUUUGGUUAGAUUGUUGUGUAGCUGAUUCGUCUAGAAGUUCACCUACAUGUUAUGUAAUUAAUUGGAGAGAGGGAUAUUCAUUAUAACUUGUGAGUUGAGGUUUUGGCGUUGACUUGGUUGUAUUUUAAGUGAGAAGUCUUCCGCU